rnacentral:rRNA from 1 species
UACAGAGGUCUCAAGCGUUGUUCGGAUUCAUUGGGCGUAAAGGGUGCGUAGGCGGCGCGGUAAGUCGGGUGUGAAAUUUCGAGGCUUAACUUCGAAACUGCAUUCGAUACUGCCGUGCUUGAGGACUGGAGAGGAGACUGGAAUUUACGGUGUAGCGGUGAAAUGCGUAGAUAUCGUAAGGAAGACCAGUGGCGAAGGCGGGUCUCUGGACAGUUCCUGACGCUGAGGCACGAAAGCUAAGGGAGCGAACAGG